rnacentral:lncRNA from 1 species
AAUCUCUCUGGAGAUCCCUGUGUACCUGAGACUCUCUAAAGUAUUUGCAAUUGAAGAAGAGACAAGGAAAUAGGAUAAAAAUGGAAUCUCAGAAACUGUUGAGAAAUAAAGGAGUGUUCAAGAAAGGGAGAAGAAUCUUUUCCAUUUAACUUAAUUUCUGUUGCUGCUAUCAGGAUGUAGCAGAGAUGAAUGAUGCAAGUGGGUAACUACUCAUCUCAGUGCAUCCACGUGCAGGGAUUACUUACACUUAAAAUCUCUUCAUUGGUCUGUUGCCCAAAUUGGGCAGGAAAGCCAUCAGUUAGCAAAGGGAUGAAAAGAUGGAGAGGAAUAGGUGUUAAGAAUGGAGGGCAGCACAGAAGCAAAGAGGACACAGCAGAACAUUUGACUAGGUUAAUGAACUGUUUAUCUUGCAAAUUAGCUCUUUUUUUAAACUUAAAAACAAGGAAGGAAGACUUCUUCAAGAUUAGUCACUCCUCAGCAAGCAUAUGAGUGCUGUUAAUGACAUAACUGUGGGGCUAAGAAGGUUGGGCUCAGUGUCCUGAUCAGCCUGAUGAACUGGUUUGGACAGAUGCAAAACCAGAGAAUGAACCAGAACUGGAAGAAUAUUAAUCCCUCACUGAGGAACUGCUCAGGUAAAUCCAGUAAAUGAGCUAGUUCCUACUAAGCAGGGUGUUUGGAGAUAAACCUAUAUCAGUAUGCUACUGGUUUAUUGUUUUUCCUGAAAGUACAUUGGUUUUAAUUUUAGAAAUGAACUGUAUGUGAAAAGAGAAGAACACAGCAGGCAUGCCAGCUGAGCACAGCAAAUGGGCAGGUACUGUGGUCUUGUGGAGCUGUGUGAGAACUGCACCAUCCCAGUCCCAGGAAAAGUCAUAAGCCUCAAUAUCAGAGAGCUUCUCUUAGCACAACCAGCCAAAGGAAUGAGGAAAAGCAAACCCUACGGCAUUUGAACUAAAAGGAUGAGUUCUGCGGCUGCUACAUUUUAACAAGAAUAAUGUACCUCAAUUUUAUUUGAAUCCAAAAACCAGCAUGCUUUGCGGAAGGAUUUGUUCUGAAAACAUCUUUGCUCUCUACUGAGCUAGGCUGGACUGUGAGUUCAACACAAAGGGUCACAGGAUUGCACUAAAUACUCUGUUGAAUGAAAUUAGGAUUCUCUGUGCUGCUUCAACUGGAUGUGUUUUUCUUUACUUCUGAUUUUAUGGGUGUGUAGGUGGCAGGUAGUCUUUUAGUACCAUUAAUUCAAUACUUUUCCCUAAUCCUACAUUUAAUUAUAUUUCCAAAACAAGUAAAGUAUUUCCACAUGUAUCC